rnacentral:rRNA from 1 species
CGAAAACGAAUUCUCUCUUGAGUGGAUCCUGAGUACGACGGAGCACGUGAAAUUCCGUCGGAAUCUGGGAGGACCAUCUCCUAAGGCUAAAUACUCUCUAGUGACCGAUAGUGAACCAGUACCGUGAGGGAAAGGUGAAAAGUACCCCGGAAGGGGAGUGAAAGAGAACUUGAAACCGUGUGCUUACAAGUAGUCAGAGCCCGUUAAUGGGUGAUGGCGUGCCUUUUGUAGAAUGAACCGGCGAGUUACGAUCUGAUGCAAGGUUAAGCAGAAAAUGUGGAGCCGUAGCGAAAGCGAGUCUGAAUAGGGCGAAUGAGUAUUUGGUCGUAGACCCGAAACCAGGUGAUCUACCCUUGGUCAGGUUGAAGUUCAGGUAACACUGAAUGGAGGACCGAACCGACUUACGUUGAAAAGUGAGCGGAUGAACUGAGGGUAGCGGAGAAAUUCCAAUCGAACUUGGAGAUAGCUGGUUCUCUCCGAAAUAGCUUUAGGGCUAGCCUCAAGUGAUGAUUAUUGGAGGUAGAGCACUGUUUGGACGAGGGGCCCCUCUCGGGUUACCGAAUUCAGACAAACUCCGAAUGCCAAAUAAUUUAACUUGGGAGUCAGAAUGUGGGUGAUAAGGUCCAUAUUCGAAAGGGAAACAGCCCAGACCACCAGCUAAGGUCCCAAAAUAUAUGUUAAGUGGAAAAGGAUGUGGCGUUGCCCAGACAACUAGGAUGUUGGCUUAGAAGCAGCCAUCAUUUAAAGAGUGCGUAAUAGCUCACUAGUCGAGUGACACUGCGCCGAAAAUGUACCGGGGCUAAACAUAUUACCGAAGCUGUGGAUUGUCCUUUGGACAAUGGUAGGAGAGCGUUCUAAGGGCGUUGAAGCAUGAUCGCAAGGACAUGUGGAGCGCUUAGAAGUGAGAAUGCCGGUGUGAGUAGCGAAAGACGGGUGAGAAUCCCGUCCACCGAUUGACUAAGGUUUCCAGAGGAAGGCUCGUCCGCUCUGGGUUAGUCGGGUCCUAAGCUGAGGCCGACAGGCGUAGGCGAUGGAUAACAGGUUGAUAUUCCUGUACCACCAUUAUUCGUUUUAAGCGAUGGGGGGACGCAGUAGGAUAGGCGAAGCGUGCUGUUGGAGUGCACGUCCAAGCAGUGAGAUUG